rnacentral:rRNA from 1 species
UACGUAGGUGACCAGCGUUGUCCGGAUUUACUGGGCGUAAAGAGCGCGCAGGCGGUCGUUCAAGUCGAGUGUGAAAGCCCCCGGCUCAACUGGGGAGGGUCACUUGAUACUGAUCGACUCGAAGGCAGGAGAGGGAAGCGGAAUUCCCGGUGUAGUGGUGAAAUGCGUAGAUAUCGGGAGGAACACCAGUGGCGAAGGCGGCUUCCUGGCCUGUUCUUGACGCUGAGGCGCGAAGGCUAGGGGAGCAAACGGG